CAGUCGCCACGGUAAUACGAAGGGUGCAAGCGUUACUCGGAACUACUGGGCGUAAAGCGUGCGUAGGUGGUGGUUUAAGUCCGUUGUGAAAGCCCUGGGCUCAACCUGGGAAUUGCAGUGGAUACUGGAUCACUAGAGUGUGGUAGAGGAUGGUGGAAUUUCCGGUGUAGCAGUGAAAUGCGUAGAGAUCGGAAGGAGCAUCUGUGGCGAAGGCGACUAUCUGGGCCAACACUGACACUGAGGCACGAAAGCGUGGGGAGCAAACAGGAUUAGAUACCCCGGUAGUCCCUGUCUCUUAUAC
rnacentral:rRNA from 1 species